GACAGAGGUGCCGAGCGUUAGGCGGAAUCACUGGGCUUAAAGCGUGUGUAGGCGGAUCGUUAAGUGCCUUGUGAAAUCCCACGGCUCAACCGUGGAACUGCUUGGCAUACUGGCGGUCUUGAGCCAGCUAGGGGCGACCGGAACAAACGGUGGAGCGGUGAAAUGCGUAGAUAUCGUUUGGAACGCCAAUGGUGAAAACAGGUCGCUGGGGCUGUGCUGACGCUGAGACACGAAAGCCAGGGGAGCGAACGGG
rnacentral:rRNA from 1 species